CGUAAUAUUAUCAUUUAAUAUAAAAGCAAAAAACAUUUACCAAAAACGAAAUAGAAAAACUAAAUUAAACAUCAAUCUAAAAAUUUUAUACUAAAAUAUAUAAUCAGUAAAUAUACGAUAUAAAAAUAUAAAUAUUACAUUAAACAUCUAUCGUAAUAUUGGAAUAAGUAAAUAUGCAAUAAAAAAAUAAUAAGUAAAUAUACAGUAGAAGAAAUAGAAAUAUUACGUUAAAAUAUUAUCUCAAUAUUUUUCUGUAAUAAAAAUAAAAAAUAGAAAAUAUUAGAAUAAAUAAAUAUACAAUAUAAUAACAAAAAAACUAAACAAUAAUUAAGUGUACAAUAUAAGAAAUAAGAAUACUACAUUAAAUAUCUAGCGUAAUAUUAGUAUAAGUAAAUAUACAAUAUAGAAGACAUAAGUAAUAAAAAAAUAUAUAAUAUAAGAAGUAGAAAAGGUAUAUUAAUAUCUAUCUGAAAAUAUUAAAUAAAAUAAAUAAUAAGUAAAUAAUAUAUUAAAAAUAUAUUUUAGUAUUACCAUUUGCUAUAAAACAAUAAGAAUAGUUAGAUAAUUAACAUUAGAAAAUUAAUAUAAUUCUGUGUGUAGCGCGGAUUAAUCCCUAGUAAUUAUCAAAUAAGUAAAACUUACAAAAUUAAAAACAUCAUGCACAAAUCUAUACUAUAUAAAAUAAAGUUUUGAAAAUUAAUAUAAAAAUAAAAAAAUAAAUAUAAUAGUUAAUUUAAAAAUGCAAUAUUUUCAAACAAUUAUCACUAUAUAAAUCUAAAACACAUGAUUUAGGUUAUAUACUGCUGAAACUAUUCAACAAAAAUGUAUACUAUAUGUUUGGAAGAUCAACAUACAACUAAGUAACAAAAAUAAUCUUAAAAAUAUAAGGAUUUAAAAUAAUAAAGACAAUGUAAAUCUAAAUCUUCAUUACAUAUGAAUCUAAAUAACAUAUGAUUUCAAAAUUGAGAAUAUAUAUUAUUUAACUGUUCACAUAAAAUUUAAAAAUAUCAUUAUAUAAAAGUUGAAGCUAUAAGCCAUCGAGGGCGUCUACAUAGGAUUUAAACGACCAAUCGUAGUAUGACAAAUCAUUAUUUAAGUUUACUAGUUUUAAAAAUGUUAAUAUUACAAAAAAUAUUAUUUAAAACUAAAAUAUAAAUCAAUAUCAAAUAAUGUAAAUUUACAAAAAUAUAAAUACUAUAUUAAGUUAACAUAAUGUUUAAUAUUUUUCGAAAAUUAAAAAAUAAAUAACAAAAAGAAUAAUUAAUUUAAAAAUACAAGACUAUUAAACAAGUAUAACUAUAUAAAUCUAAAUUUAAACUCAUGAUUUUCAAAAUUUAGGUUAUAUAAUAUUGAAAAUAUUCAAAAUAACAUAUACUAUGUAUAAGUUGAUAUUAUAAAUCAUUGAGAAUGUUCACAUAUUAUUUUAAAGCACCAAAAAUAUACCAAAUCGUUUUUUAAUUUGGUAUUUCUAAAAAUGUUAAUAUUAUGAAAUAUUUUAUGUCAAAAUAAAAUAUAAAUAAUUAUCAAAUAAUUUAAAAUUACAAUAUUAAAAUAAUGUAAAUCUAAAUCACUUUUUUCAUUACAUAUGAAUCUAAAUAACAUAUGAUUUAAAAAUUGAGGAUAUAUAUUAUUUAAGUGUUCUCAGAGAAUUUAAAAUUAUCAUUAUAAUAAUAUAAAAGUCAGCAUCUUAAUUUGAUAAAGUAAAUAAAAAUAUUAUUUUAUUAAAAUAAUUAACUUGAUAUAGAAAAUAAGUAUAUAUUUGAAAUUAAACAAAAAAGUUAACAAAAAUAAAAAUAUUCAAAAAGAAAUAGUUUAAAAAAAAUAUUUAUCAAUAAUCACGUAUGUAAAAAUAAAUAAAAAUCAGCACAAAAUUAUAAAAAUAUAAAUUAAAAUUUGUAAAAAUUAUCUUUAAAGUUAGAUUGAUAUUUAUAGCUAAUUAUUAAAAACUUAAUAUAAUAAGAGAUUGACAAAAAAAAAUCUAAUUAUGUAUGUAACCUUUAAUACGAUAUGGACUAUAUGCUUUAAAAAUCUGAAAUAACUGAAAAUACCAAUAAAAAUAUUUAAAGUCAGCAUCUUAAGUUAAUAUUCUUAUAAAUCUUAAAUUUUCUAUAAAAAAAGAAACAAAAUAAAAAUAAAAUAUAAAAUGCUUACUUGAUAUAUAUGCUAACUGUUCAUUAAUUAAAGUCAGAAUUAUAAAAUUAU